ensembl:lncRNA
GUUAAAUUGAAUGACAGAUCCCAACUUAUAUAACAUAUAGUCCCUACCUUCCAGUUGCUUACCAAUCUGAUGGUGAGAACUGGAGACACACACAUGAAAGUGAGUGAAGAGUACACAACAAUACAAGACUAAGUGGUAUCCACAGUAAUGCUGUAGGAACCCUGGGAGGGACAAGUGCAGGAUGAAGGAGGAGAAAGGGCUCCGGCUGAGCCUUCCAUCUAGUGAAUCAAAUCUCCUCCUUGUCCCCAGCACAGGCUCCCGUCAUCUCAGCCUCUAUUCGUUUGCUCAUGUUGUCUCCCUGCCUGAAGUCCUCUACCCUUCUGGCCUGCUUAGCCCAACCCUACCCACCCAUCAACGCUUAGCCCCAGCCCCCUUCCUCCUUACAACUUUCCUUGAUUACUCUAGCCCUCACUGACUUGUCUCUCCUCUGAGCUCCUACAGCACCUACAUUUUGUGUCAGACCAUUUAGUCUUCAGACGGAAACACUAUGUGUGUAUGUGUAUUAUUUCCCCAACUAAGGACCACAUCUUUUGCUUCUCUCUUUAGAAUGAUGCCAAGUGCUGUGCAGUAGUGGCACCUCACAUAGUGGCACCAGUUGGUCAGUCAACAGGCAGAGAGAAAAGAGGAGGGAUUCCAAGCAUAGGAAACAUCAAAAGCAAGAAAAUCAUGGCAUAAAUUGACGUGAUGAGUUUAAAGAUAUUACACCAGUAGUUCUCAGCCCAGCUGAGGUUUGAAUCACCUGAAGAGCUUUUAGAAAUACCUCCAUGCAGAAGCCCCGCCCCAGACCAAUUUUCUCAGAAUAUCAGGGAAUGUGGCCGAGGCAUCACUAUUUUUCAAAAGCUCCCCAAGUGAUGCUAAUGUGUAGCUAGAGUUAAGAACCAUGGUAUUAGCAAAAACAGAAGGAGUGAAAGAAAAAGAGGUGAAAAGGAAACUGGAAAACAGGCACAAAAAACUGUGAGGGUGCCCAUCCUUCUUGUCCAUUUUGUUCCCAUCAGUUUGUCAUGGGAAUUUGUCCUUGUCAGAGUGGUCUGGAUGGAUCCGCUAUGAACAGAUGCUUCUGUCAUCUGCCAUGGAGAGAACAGACAGCACUGACAAAUGCGGGCACAGCCCACAGGGUCAAUCUGUACCCACAGGAUUCGGAAAAGUUUGGGGAAGUUAGAGGACUAGUUUAGACCACUUGAAAAUUUACGUUGCAGUUUCUCCCCCUUCCAGGUUGUUAGCAUUCAGUUUACUCUCGCUUAUACCUGCCCAUCAGAAGAGCCAAGAAGUAUGUAAAUUAUACUCAGGCUACGCUUGUAGAAAUUCCUGCCUAAUUCUUUGCACUCCUCCCUCCACCUCCUCUGGAAUCGAGCAGAAGUCACACCUCCUCGCUGUAAUAGGUAAUCUGGCUCAAGUGCAUUGAAGAGCAUGCCAGGAACUUGAAGAGCUAGAGAGUCCUCACCUGGUCCGGUCUGUAGUUGCUGCCUGCCCACGACCUUUUCUCCUCUGGUCCCUCCUUUCUCUACGUAGAAAACCCAGAGACAGAACAAGCACCCAAGCUGCACUUCCCGGGAGCUGCCUCCAGGGGCGCCUGUGCAGAGCGGCCUCUCCUCCCGGCCCGCCCACUGACUGCGCAUCGGCAGACAAACCAUUACUAUCGCCAAAAGUCCCUAUCCACCAGAUGCCGCUGUUAGGGACGAGGCUGACAAGACAAGUGCCUCUGGGAAAAGACACGGGGCUGACAUUCAGAGUAGGACGUAAAGGAUUGAGAGGGAAAGUUUUCCUGAGCUCGAGACCUGUUUGUUUGGGAAUGGAGGCGUUGGGAGGCUGGCCAAGCCCCAGCCCUGGAUCCAGAGGAGUCACAGCCGAGAGCCGACCUCCGAGGCCACGUCCUUUCACCUCCUCGCUCCCUGGUCUCUGUGCAGCAAUUGUGGUCCGCCAGGUUCUGGCCAAUGUGUAGCCUCUCCAUGCUGAAAACGGCCCCUUGAAAAGUGGAGGGGAAGAGACCAGCCCCCAGCAGCGAACCCCAUAUAUACCGGGAGGUAACUCGAAACCCCAGAGCUGGGCCAGGGGAGGAGGGGAAGGGUAGAGGGGGAUGAGGUUUUUCCACUUCCAUUCGCAACUGUCAGGCGGGUGAUUAAUGACCAACAGGUUUGGAAUCGCCUUUAUUGCCAGAUCAGUAUUGUUGCCCAUGACAGCUAAUGAGGUUGGACAGGCUUCUCCACACUGAGCUUUAUGGGGCCGGCUCCCUCCCCUGCAGAGCUCGCAAGCCCUGCCAGCUUUUGUGCACUGGAAUGUUCCAGCCCCACACCCCGCUUUGCUCCUCCAACACUACCUCCCCCAACCCCCUGAACCACCAUGUCACCCAGAACCUACCCCGUCCACAAAGGAAGCUGGGGAGCAGGGGUUUCUGAUGCCCAGCCUGCUCAGAGAGACCCAUCUGUUACGCCCACACCCCUGAGCGCCCCUCCCCAGCCCUGCUGGAGCUUGAGCAGUGGGAUGGGGGCAGCUCUGAAUAAAAAGGAAGGGAAAGGAACAAAAGCAAACAUCGCAGCCCUUAGGUUUAAGACAAGGGGAAGACACGUCUGUAUGCUUGUUCUGGACAGUCUGACCAGCAAACUUAAGAAGCCAUUCCCCAGUCAGCCGUAAAACUCAAAAAGUAUUUUAUACAUUACCACUUCAAUCCAGCAAAUGUGUUGGGUGGGGGGAGUGAGGACAGAGGAAUGAGGGAAUUUAGGAAAGGAGGUUUAAUCACAGUUAAUACUGAUUUUUUAACCAACCACCUUGAGCCUAGAUACACAAAGCCAGGUUUCAGUGCAGAAAUCAACUUGGUCUGAGGUUUCAGGGUAAGGAAAUGCUGGCUUUGUUUUCUGCUCUCUUACAAAUAAUCUUUACCUUUGUGCUAGUUCACAUCUUGAUACGGUUAAGCACGUGUUUGCCUGGGGUUUAAUAUUUGAAGGAGUUGGAGCAAUGUAAUAAGCAAACAGCUUAAAAGGCC